rnacentral:rRNA from 1 species
AACGAACGCUGGCGGCAUGCCUAACACAUGCAAGUCGAACGAUACCUUCGGGUCUAGUGGCGCACGGGUGAGUAACGCGUGGGAACCUACCCUUAGGUUCGGAAUCACUCCCCGAAAGGGGUGCUAAUACCGGAUAAUGUCUUCGGACAAAAGAUUUCUGGCCUUUGGAUGGGCCCGCGUUGGAUUAGCUAGUUGGGAGGGUAAAAGCCUACCAAGGCGACGAACCAUGGCUGGUCUGAGGGGAUGCCCCGCCAGAAUUGAACUGAGACACGGCCCAGAACGCUAGGGAAGGGAGGAGAGGGGAAUAUUAGGCGAUGGGGGAUAACGUGGCCCCGCAACGCCGGGUAGGUGAUGAAGGCAUUAGGGUUCCAAAUUCACCUGACACGAGGUGAUAAUGACAGUACCGGGAGAAUAAGCUCCGGCUAACUCCGUG